rnacentral:rRNA from 1 species
GUUAUACAAUUAAUAUUAGUUAAUAAUUUUGGUUAAAUUGAAGUUAAAUUUAUUUUGAUAUUAAUUUUUUUUUUUUUAGGUGAAAUUUAAAAAUUAAAUAGUUUUUUUUUGGUUCUUUUAAAAUUAAAGUUUAAACUAGGAUUAGAUACCCUAUUAUUUUAAUCGUUAAUAUUAACCUGGGUAGUAUUAAAUAUGUUUUUUAAACCUAAAGAAUUUGGCGGUAAUUUAUUCUUUUCAGAGGAAUUUGCCCUUUAAUCGAUAAUCCUCGUUUUAUCUUACCUAUUCUUGUUUAAUAAUAUGUAUACCGCCGUUAUAAGUUUAUUUUAUUAGAAUAUAAUUUAC